rnacentral:rRNA from 1 species
UAAGGAAUAUUGGGCAAUGGACGAAAGUCUGACCCAGCCAUGCCGCGUGGAGGAUGAAGGUCCUCUGGAUUGUAAACUUCUUUUAUCUGGGAAGAAACCCACGGUUUCCACUGUGGUUGACGGUACCAGAUGAAUAAGCACCGACUAACUCCGUGCCAGCAGCCGCGGUAAUACGGAGGGUGCAAGCGUUAUCCGGAUUCACUGGGUUUAAAGGGUGCGUAGGCGGGUUGCCAAGUCCGUGGUGAAAUCUCUGAGCUUAACUCAGAAACUGCCGUGGAUACUGGUAAUCUUGAAUAUCGCGGAGGUAAGCGGAAUAUGUCAUGUAGCGGUGAAAUGCUUAGAUAUGACAUAGAACACCGAUAGCGAAGGCAGCUUACUACACGAUCAUUGACGCUGAGGCACGAAAGCGUGGGGAGCAAAC